GACGAACGCUGGCGGCGUGCUUAACACAUGCAAGUCGAACGGAAAGGCCCUGCUUUUGUGGGGUGCUCGAGUGGCGAACGGGUGAGUAACACGUGAGUAACCUGCCCUUGACUUUGGGAUAACUUCAGGAAACUGGGGCUAAUACCGGAUAGGAGCUCCUGCUGCAUGGUGGGGGUUGGAAAGUUUCGGCGGUUGGGGAUGGACUCGCGGCUUAUCAGCUUGUUGGUGGGGUAGUGGCUUACCAAGGCUUUGACGGGUAGCCGGCCUGAGAGGGUGACCGGCCAAAUGGGGACUGAGAUACGGCCCAGACUCCUAGGGGAGGCAGGAGUGGGGAAUAUUGCACAAGGGGCGGAAGCCUGAUGCAGCAACCCCGCGGGCGGGAUGACGGCCUUCGGUUUGAAAACCGCUUUCGCCUGUGACGAAGCGUGAGUGACGGUAAUGGGUAAAGAAGCACCGGCUAACUACGU
rnacentral:rRNA from 1 species